rnacentral:lncRNA from 1 species
AUCCCACAUUAAAUCAAGGGGUGUGAAUACUUUCUGAAGGUACAUUAGGCCUUACAUUUACUUACAGGUCAACUGAUAUGAACCAGAAGCCAGACAUGGAGUCUUCCUCAAUGAAGAAGUCAUCCUGCAAUUCUGAGGAUCUUAAUAAGGAGAUAUAUUCCCUCAAAAUAAGUCUGUCUGAAGAUGAUGCAGAUUUUCCAGAGAGGGAAACUGAAAGUGGCAACCUUGAGAGACCUGUGUCUCCAGUAUUCAGUGUGCUGUCAAUGGAGAGUGAUGUCUUCUCCAAUGACGUCACUGAUAAGGACAUUCUUGACUCAAGUACACAGCAGGAGAGACCAACAUCACCAGACCGUCUGUCAUUGAAAAGUGAUUGUUCAAUGUUCCGACCAGAAAACUUCACAGGGCUGUUGCCUCAUGAUUCAAGUGGCAACCUUGAGAGACCUGUGUCUCCAGUAUUCAGUGUGCUGUCAAUGGAGAGUGAUGUCUUCUCCAAUGACGUCACUGAUAAGGACAUUCUUGACUCAAGGUGAUACGUAUAUCCUGGUAGUUUCACUACAUUUCAAUCAUAUUACAAAGGGUUGAAUCAGAGG